GUACACAAAAAUGCACAUGCUGUGAGCUCGAUGAGUAGGGCGGGACACGUGGUAUCCUGUCUGAAUAUGGGGGGACCAUCCUCCAAGGCUAAAUACUCCUGACUGACCGAUAGUGAACCAGUACCGUGAGGGAAAGGCGAAAAGAACCCCGGCGAGGGGAGUGAAAAAGAACCUGAAACCGUGUACGUACAAGCAGUGGGAGCACGCUUAGGCGUGUGACUGCGUACCUUUUGUAUAAUGGGUCAGCGACUUAUAUUCUGUAGCAAGGUUAACCGAAUAGGGGAGCCGAAGGGAAACCGAGUCUUAACUGGGCGUUAAGUUGCAGGGUAUAGACCCGAAACCCGGUGAUCUAGCCAUGGGCAGGUUGAAGGUUGGGUAACACUAACUGGAGGACCGAACCGACUAAUGUUGAAAAAUUAGCGGAUGACUUGUGGCUGGGGGUGAAAGGCCAAUCAAACCGGGAGAUAGCUGGUUCUCCCCGAAAGCUAUUUAGGUAGCGCCUCGUGAAUUCAUCUCCGGGGGUAGAGCACUGUUUCGGCAAGGGGGUCAUCCCGACUUACCAACCCGAUGCAAACUGCGAAUACCGGAGAAUGUUAUCACGGGAGACACACGGCGGGUGCUAACGUCCGUCGUGAAGAGGGAAACAACCCAGACCGCCAGCUAAGGUCCCAAAGUCAUGGUUAAGUGGGAAACGAUGUGGGAAGGCCCAGACAGCCAGGAUGUUGGCUUAGAAGCAGCCAUCAUUUAAAGAAAGCGUAAUAGCUCACUGGUCGAGUCGGCCUGCGCGGAAGAUGUAACGGGGCUAAACCAUGCACCGAAGCUGCGGCAGCGACACUGUGUGUUGUUGGGUAGGGGAGCGUUCUGUAAGCCUGCGAAGGUGUGCUGUGAGGCAUGCUGGAGGUAUCAGAAGUGCGAAUGCUGACAUAAGUAACGAUAAAGCGGGUGAAAAGCCCGCUCGCCGGAAGACCAAGGGUUCCUGUCCAACGUUAAUCGGGGCAGGGUGAGUCGACCCCUAAGGCGAGGCCGAAAGGCGUAGUCGAUGGGAAACAGGUUAAUAUUCCUGUACUUGGUGUUACUGCGAAGGGGGGACGGAGAAGGCUAUGUUGGCCGGGCGACGGUUGUCCCGGUUUAAGCGUGUAGGCUGGUUUUCCAGGCAAAUCCGGAAAAUCAAGGCUGAGGCGUGAUGACGAGGCACUACGGUGCUGAAGCAACAAAUGCCCUGCUUCCAGGAAAAGCCUCUAAGCAUCAGGUAACAUCAAAUCGUACCCCAAACCGACACAGGUGGUCAGGUAGAGAAUACCAAGGCGCUUGAGAGAACUCGGGUGAAGGAACUAGGCAAAAUGGUGCCGUAACUUCGGGAGAAGGCACGCUGAUAUGUAGGUGAAGUCCCUCGCGGAUGGAGCUGAAAUC
rnacentral:rRNA from 1 species